CUAUUUUGUUGGUGAAGUAUCACAGGGCUGGCACUUCCACCACCUCUCUCAGUAACCCAGGCUGGUUUCUGACAUUUUAUGAUCGGCGACUUAAUGCAUUUCCAGGAAAUGAAUCAUGUUAGUGGUUUGGAACAGCUUUUUUUUAGAACCCAACUACAAAUACUAAACCAAUCCUCUGUGUUCCUAAAAUAAGUGGUUUGACUUCUUUAUUUUCUUUCAUCCUUCUUCUUACCACCUUUCCAGGUUUACAUAUGAAAUUGCACCAGUGUUUGUCCUCAUGGAACAAAUAACACUUAAGAAGAUGAGAGAGAUAGUUGGAUGGUCAAGUAAAGAUGGUGAUGGGAUAUUUUCUCCUGGGUAAAGGGUCCAGUGGGAAGCCCCAGCAAUAGGGAAGCCAGCAAAACCUAUCAGGAUAUUAUCCUUUCGCUUCCUGACCUCCCUUGUCUCUUGAGACACCAGCUCAGCGUUCGUUUUUAGAAACAAUAAUCAAAGAGCCCCAACACCUCCCAAUAUGUCCGCUUGCUGACAGGGGGCGCCAUAUCCAACAUGUACAGCAUCAUGGCUGCU
rnacentral:lncRNA from 10 species